rnacentral:sRNA from 1 species
GUUUGCACUCAUCGGGGAAGGGUGAGAACCUUCGACUAAGGUUCGAUUCGAGCGAAAGCGAGAGAACGUUGCCACAGGCAACGACCCGAAGGGCGAAGCGACGAAUAAUCCUUCCCCCACCACCA